AUGGCGGGCCAAGAGGAGAAGGUUCUUGACGCACCAACGUCGCCGGUGCCCACGCAGACCAUGGCGGGCCAAGAGGGGGACGCUGUCGACGCACCAAAGUCGCCGGCGCCGGCCGGGAGCGACACCGGCCUCAAGCUUCCGUCGGCCGCUCCGGACGCCACGGUUCAUCAGGUCGUGUCUGGGGAUGAGGAGGAGCUGCAGGAGACCCUUGCCCGUGGGAAGAAGAAGAAGAUGGAUGACCUAUCCGGAUCAGCUGCUUCCGGAUCCACCAAGAAGCCCCGCGCCGCCGAUCUGCUGCAUGCCUCCAUCUUUCAAGACGAGGCACCAUCGACUGGACUCGCCCCCACGCUCUUCGCUGACUACACCUUUCUUUCUCGGGAGCCAUUUUCUGCAGCAGCGGGCGUCCGGCCGCCACCACGCCGUCCACCCGGAGGUAACACAGCGCCGGCCGGGACAGCAAUAUUCUUUGGACCCAUGACCGAGGCGCAAGAUCGUCUCUCGGAGAUAAUGGGUGACCAGGAUUUUGUACUCCGCGCCGCCAUCUCAGGCGGUUGGAAGCCAGACAACGACAAGCCGCCCGUGCACCCGCCAAACGAUGACUGA
rnacentral:rRNA from 1 species